CCGGGGCAGGGCGGCCGGAGCGGAGGCGCCGUAGGGAGCUGGCUGUUAGGUCGAAUGCACAGCCUUGGAGUCAGACACAGAAAAUUCACUGCUGUCGCAUCAUCCCUCGGCUUGGAGCCCGGCUCAGGCUUACGGCACGUCUGGGCAUCGUCACCUCAGGCUGAAUUAGACUUGUCUGAGCAUUCACCCUCCUGUCACAGAAGAAGCAAAGGAUGCAACAAGGCUCAGAGUGAGCAGCUCCAGAUGUCAACUGAGCAAACUCAGGAUCAGCUGCAGUUAUUCCAGAGUACGUGUCCACGUGCAGAAUUUUCCGGAACAGGACAGGAGUGCCUAAUAAGUCACAGCAAACCAGCACAGUAGUUUGGAGUGGCAAGUGAAAAAUACCAUGUCCACUCAAAAGUGGAUUUCACAGGACUGAGGACUGGGAGAGGCAGUGUGCAGAAAUUGCCCCAGCAGCAGCAGCAGCAACAGCAAGCAAUGAGCUCAAGCAGRAUGGAGUGCCCCGGCCAAGCCAUAGCCCUGCUGGCAGGAGCUGUGGAGUGAAAGGCGCAGGGAACAGCGUGGCCGUGAAGGUGCCGUUCUCCUGAAAGAGGAUCCUGGAAAAACAUGGCUUGGUGCAGGAGCCAGCACACCGAAGGCAAGACAGCAGCAGACACUUGAAUGGAGACUCUUCGUGUUUACAGCCUGGUCACAGGAGUGACUGAGACCUGAAAUYUCCCUGACAUCCUCUCUGGAUGCUUGGCCUUGGAACAGCCUCAGUGAGGCCACACCUGCUCUCUUCUACUCGUGGAGCCACAGAGGACACUGGAAAAGCCCAUGAAAUUGGCUGGAGAAGGAGGGAGGCUUCUGAGCAAAUGAUCUCUAAACGAGGCCCUUCCCYGUGCCUUUUCUGGGGUUCAUUAAUAUCAAUGGUAUGUGCUUAUAUCUCAGUUUUCCAAGAUUCAUUCAAAAUCUACAGUGACAUGCCUCGGAGCUUUUCAAUUAUGUCACCAGGCUUUGGCUAAGGCCCUUGCAUUUUUAAUAAAUAUUACAUAUUUUCAA